rnacentral:rRNA from 1 species
UAAGGGACGAUCAGUACAGGUGGUGCAUGGCUGUCGUCAGCUCGUGUCGUGAGAUGUUGGGUUAAGUCCCGCAACGAGCGCAACCCUUAUUCUUAGUUGUUUCCCUUUGGGAUUACCCUCUAAGAAGACUGCCUCGGAUAACGGGGAGGAAGGUGGGGAUGACGUCAAGUCCGCAUGCUCCUUACGUCUAGGGCUACACACGUCCUACAAUGGGGUCGACAAUGGGAUGCAAUAUCGCAAGAUGGAGCCAAUCCCCAAACGGCCUCUCAGUUCGGAUUGUAGUCUGCAACUCGACUACAUGAAGUUGGAAUCGCUAGUAAUGGCAGAUCAGCAUGCUGCCGUGAAUACGUUCCCGGGUCUU